CGACCUUGGCGGCGGACGCGCACGAAGCGUGGAAAUAACGCUGCUGCGACUCAACAGCGUACAGAGCGGCACGCUUGGCCUGGUGGAGAGGGAUAGAAAAGAAAAUCAUGAUUAAUACACGUGGGUAGCGGGAUCUUUUAGGUGAUCUAAUUCAUUUUAUCGGAUAAAUUUUGUGGUCGAAGGUGUGGUUUUCAGUAAUAAACUAGUCCCAAAACCUCUUGCCCUAUGAUCUUUUUAUCCUUCUAAGAGAAAGUAGAAAGCUUUCUUGUAGAUACUUUGUUGCACUAGAAAGUAUGAACCUACUAGGCAUCAGAUUAACAAACAUCAAAAGUUCGAUCGGGCACGAUCGUCGAGUUUUUUCGUUGCUACAGCUACAAUCAUGCACCGGUAAUAAAUACACGUGACACCCAUCGCGAUCAAGCGGCACCGGCGCGGGUGGAGUAAAAAUAAAAUAAAAACAUACGGCAGCCGCGCCGUAGCGGGUGACCUUCGUCAAAUGACUUGUUAUAGAUAGGCAGUUAGGCAGGGAGCUACAAGAUAGAAUAAAAGAAAGAUUGUGUCGGGUAAGGGACUAAAUUCUUUCCAGUACAGGGGGUUAUAUUAAUAAACGCAACUGGAUAAUAUUAUGCAAAAUUACACUGUUAUUUGCAUUUUUAUUGAAGGGUUGAACCUUAUCGAAACAAAUUUUAUGCAAACUGGUAGCCUACCACUGUUAGUGUAAAGUGUUUUAUUUCGUACGUUUUCCUUAAUAUUUUCUAAUGAUGAAUCUUAGCAAAAUGGUUUCUUCGAUUAUUUUUUUUUUUUUUGCAAGGUUUCUAGCUGCACUCUGAAUAGAGUUGAAACCUCUACACUAGACCCGAAGAUAGAAAAGAGUACGUAAUCUUUCAGAAGCAGUUUGCCAGCCGUACGCGGAAAAUGAUAUCCAUUAACCCUUUGAAGCCGGAGGGGUCAUAUAUGACCCCGGCGAUGAAACCGAGUAUAACAACCAUGUUCGAGACCAGCGAGGUUGCGACAGCAGCGGCAAAACAAUUCGGCUUCAAAGGGUUAAGACACUGUUGCAACUGACUCAGAAAGAUACGGUAGAAGAUUGGAAAGUUUUCAAUUGAUCAGUCAGUCAGGAUUUGCCUAUGUAGUGUUAUGGUUACACGGUUUGUGUUUGUCUUCUUGUUUGAUUUUGUGGUAUGGUUCAAUAUGUUUUACUUCUCGUUAAAUCAGUUGUCAUAUGUUUGUUUUUUUUUCAUCGAAUCAAUCGAACCCUGUAUGUUAAAAUAUAUUCGAUCCUGUGUCAAAUUGUUUUCUUGAUUUCGCUAAUCGUUUUCUACUUCUCUGUGUUCAUCUCUUGUGUCCUUAAAUUGUCAUCGGUGCAAAACCCACAGAAACAUGUAACUGAACUUCUGAUAUUUUUCUGUUGUCGUCAUAAUACCAUCUAAUAGAUAAACAAAAAUACAUACGCCAAGUUGGUCAGUUGAUUGCAAUAAAAUUUUAAAAUAAUAAAGAUUUCAUGUCAACUUUCAUCCCGCUACAAAUACUAUGAAAAAUAUCCAAAUUCGUUCAAUUGUCCUAUCGGUCCUACCUAGAUAAACCAUGUUAUUUUCUCAAGCGUAGCCUAGAAAUGUCAACCUAGUCAUACACAAGUAACGUU